ACUAAUUAUACAAUAAACUAAUAGUAAAUUGACGGAAAAGUGUGUUGAACUAUUGUUUAAAAAAUAGAGAUGAAAUAAGUUGAUAUUUAAAUAACAAAGAUGAAAUAGAUUUUUGCAACAAGUUGACUGAUGUUAGAGUAAUGGAUCAGGAUCCUCUCCUGAUCUGAGCACUCGUGAUCUUUUACAGAUCUUGUAUCACCUAUAUUUUAAUGUUAGUGGAUGAUUAUAAUUUAACUACUUUUUCUUUUUAAUUUAUUAACCACCAAUCAUAUUAACAUAAUUUGCUCAAAUGAAGAUCAAAUAAGGAGAGGAUCCUAAUCCUAAAGCAAUUCUGGUUACAGUAUAAAAUAACAACCUGAGGAGAAGCACUAGGCCCGGUUCUGAAAAAUUCUUGGGGUGAGAAUAAGAGCAAGCGAGAAGUAGAUGGCAAACGUGUGAACCGGAGAGAAAUGGAGCGAGAACAACAGCAAGCCUGCUGGCUAACGGCGACAGCAAUGGGAUUUUUUGGGGUUCUGAAUUUUGAUUUGGUUCCUUCGUUGGCCUUGUGAUUGUGAACCGGAGAGAUACAGAUGGCAAAGGGGUGCGUGAUAGUUGAGAUGCAAUAAUGCGCCCAUGGCCUUGACUUGUAUAUUUUGUCUCUUCAUUUUCCUUGUAAAUUUUUUGGGUUUCGCUUGGCUAAUAAAAUAAUUUCUUUAGUAUAGAAUAAGGGUCCCUCCACGAUAGGAGUGCCAAAAAAGCCCGGGCUGGCCCAAGUCCGGUUUGGUCCAACCCAAGCCCGUUGGCCUAAAGCCCCACUUGUAAGGGAUGAGCCUAGAUAUGAGCCCAAAAAUUGCAAAGCUCACAUGUGUUGGGCCUGGACAUGGGCUCAGCAAAAAAGUCUGGACUUAGCCCGGG
rnacentral:lncRNA from 1 species